rnacentral:tRNA from 1 species
GGCCCGUUGGUCAAGUGGUUAAGACACCGCCCUUUCACGGCGGUAACACGGGUUCGAAUCCCGUGCGGGUCA